rnacentral:rRNA from 1 species
AUGCAUGACUUAAGGCAAGACUCAUGUCCGCAAAAAAAAGAAGGAUUUGUCAAUGUACUAGCCUUACAAUCCUUUCAGCGUGUUAUGCAUGACCCUCAAGAGACUUGCCUUAAGUUAUGGGUUGUUGUGUAUAGGUUCGGCCCGGUCUAUCAAUCCUUGGAGAGCAGUACUAGUGAGCAUAGAAGAAAUGAAAGACUGAAAAGUAUCACUCUUUGUGUCUGCAACAUCAUAGUCUUUAGCUUCUUCUUGUCCGACUGUUUUCCACAAAAUAAAACUUUUGUCCUUCUUUAUCUCUAUAUCUCGGUCUCAGAGGUUGUCGAAAGGCAACAAGACAUAUUAGAGGCUAAUGCCUACUCUUGGCUAAGUUCAAUCUUAGCUUCACAGUUUGGGCCACCAUAA